UGAGGAAUAUUGGUCAAUGGGCGGAAGCCUGAACCAGCCAUCCCGCGUGAAGGAAGAAGGCCUUAUGGGUUGUAAACUUCUUUUCUGUUUGAAGAAUAAGCUUGUCGUGACAAGUGAUGCCGGUAGGACAGGAAUAAGCAUCGGCUAACUCCGUGCCAGCAGCCGCGGUAAUACGGAGGCUGCAAGCGUUAUCCGGAUUUAUUGGGUUUAAAGGGUGCGCAGGUGGUUUAAUAAGUCAGUGGUGAAAGUCUGCCGCUUAACGGUAGGAUUGCCAUUGAUACUGUUGGACUUGAAUAUGGAUGAGGUAGGCGGAAUGUGUAGUGUAGCGGUGAAAUGCUUAGAUAUUACACAGAACACCGAUUGCGAAGGCAGCUUACUAAUCCAUGAUUGACGCUGAGGCACGAAAGCGUGGGGAUCAAACUG
rnacentral:rRNA from 1 species